AAAAGGGGGAAAAAAUCAUUCAGGAGGUUGGGGCAUUGCGAAGGACAUUAGAGGGAUACAUUAGAGGCCCCAAACCCAAUUAGUAUAACCCAUUUAUUUUUGCUCAAUAAGCAAUGCAGGUGGACUACAUGCUUUUAUCUUUUCCGUCAAAAGGCAAACUAGUUAGUGUUUAUUAAAGGUCAAGGCUCAUAGCAUAAUUGGCACUCCUACAUCUGAAACAAAUAUAGGGGCAUCUUAAGUGGAUGGACUAGGGUAUACUACUAGCAAUUGUUCAUGAUGAUGAAUUGAAUAACCAAAGAGACUUUGAAAUUUGCUAUGAAGAAGUACAUAUGCUAACUGAUUACAUGGUGAAGAAGAAGAUAUAGAAGAUGGUGAAGAAGAUUCUUAUACAGAAGACAAUGAUGCUGAUACAUAAAUUAUGGUUCUGAAUUUCUGUUGCUAUUUAGUGUUGAGUUUAACAUUGAUUGCAUUGACUUUUAAUUGAUUUAGUUUUGAUUAGAUUCAAUUUUGUGAUGAUUGAUUUAUUAUUUAUCACUAACUCAAGGUUGAAAUUUGAAUAUGCAAGUGUCAAGUCGUAGCCUAAAGUAUUGUAGGGUCCAAUUGAGUACUAUAACACUUGCAUAAUUGCCUUUGCAACUUGAAAAAUCCCUUCUUCCUCAUGAUUCAGCCGCAUCUACUCCUCCAAUUAUGCCAGGACCAUCUAGACCUAGAUCAUCUCCAAUCAUGCCCAAACCAUCCAGAUCUACAUCAUCUCCGUUCAUGAUUGAAUCAAUUAGAAGACCCUCAUUGUCACUUACAUCAUCUUGUCCAAUUUCUUCUCCUGGAACAAAACACUCGCAGCCUCCCACUUCACAGGCUCCUCUCACUAGUUUUGCACCAUGGAGUUAUGAUGCCUCAGAUAGUUGAACAUAGAUUUAUCCUGAGAAGAAAACAAAAAUUUAAAUGACUACCACAAGAUGAAGAUGCUAUAAAGAAAAAUUAGAAUACAAAAUGUGGAGUAAUCUUAAGAAAUACUCCUUCGGUUCUAAAUAUAAGACCCUUAUAUACACUAGUAUAAGGGUCCUAUAUUUAGGACCAGAGGAGUACUAUGUAUCGUGUUGGCAAGACCUGUUUCAAAAACAUAUUAGGCCUAAUUGGAUUCCAGAUAAUGUCAUGAAUAAUUUAGAGAAAAUAUGGACAUCAGAAGAUUAUCAGGUCAAGUGUGACAUAGCUAAAGCCAAUGGGCCAUCUUCCAAAGGAGACACUUAACACAAAAGGGGUAGUAGCAUUCCUAAUAGUGAGCAUAAGAGGAGGCUGGUAAGAGUUUAUCUUCAAAUGCAAUUAUUAUUUACUUGCUCAAAAAGACAUUAUAAUGAAAAACACUAGCCUGCUUGUGCAUCAUAGGUUGGCUGAAGUUUAUGGAAGGAUGCGUUUCUUAUUAUUAUUUUCACUAGAACUUUGUUGAUGGUUGGAGACCUGACUAGUUCUAGUGAAUCUUGAUUUAUUAUUUUCAACGUCAUGGGACAGGUUUUCAAUUGAUUUGAAUAUGUCGUGCACGAUCGAGCCCUUUUGGCUGUAGGUAUUUCUCCUGGUCAUUAUUUGGUUAUCUUGGGCAGUGGAGUCUAGGCUCAAUGGAUGUUUAGAAUUUGUGAAUUGUUUCUACGAUACUAUGAUAUUGAAGAGUUAGUUCUUGCAAACUCGUUUUUAAUCAUGUUCAUAUAAUCUAUUUCCUGUAU